rnacentral:rRNA from 1 species
UCUUGAAUAUCAAAGGUGAGCCAGUACAGGAUGGACCCGCGUCUGAUUAGCUAGUUGGUAAGGUAACGGCUUACCAAGGCGACGAUCAGUAGCCGACCUGAGAGGGGGAUCGGCCACAUUGGAACUGAGACACGGUCCAAACUCCUACGGGAGGCAGCAGUGGGGAAUAUUGCACAAUGGGCGAAAGCCUGAUGCAGCAACGCCGCGUGAGUG